rnacentral:rRNA from 1 species
UACAGAGGUGGCAAGCGUUGUUCGGAUUCAUUGGGUGUAAAGGGUCUGUAGGCGGUUUGGCAAGUCGGGUGUGAAAUCUCAUGGCUCAACCAUGAAACUGCGCUCGAAACUACUAGACUAGAGUUUGGAAAAGGAAGAUGGAAUUCCCGGUGUAAGGGUGAAAUCUGCAGAUAUCGGGAGGAACACCAGUUGCGAAGGCGAUCUUCUGGUCCAAAACUGACGCUGAGAGACGAAAGCUAGGGGAGCAAACGGG